rnacentral:rRNA from 1 species
GUCGAACGCUGGCGGCGUGCUUAACACAUGCAAGUCGAACGAAGUGGCGAACGGGUGAGUAACGCGUAAUCAACCUGCCCUUCAGAGGGGGACAACAGUUGGAAACGACUGCUAAUACCGCAUACUGAAGGAGGGGAUUGCGUCUGAUUAGCUAGGUGGGGGGGUAACGGCCCAACAAGGCGAUGAUCAGUAGCCGGGCUGAGAGGAUGAACGGCCACAAUUGGACUGAGACACGGCCCAGACUCCUACGGGAGGCAGCAGUGGGGAAGUGUCCGAAAUGGACGAAAGGCUGACGGAGCAACGCCGCGUGAGUGAGGACGGCCUUCGGGGUGUAAAGCUCUGUUAAUCGGGACGCGGUACCGGAAUAGAAAGCCACGGCUAACUACGUGCCAGCAGCCGCGGUAAUUC